rnacentral:RNase_P_RNA from 1 species
CGAGUCGGCCGGGUGAUCGCGGCGCAAGCUGAGGAAAGUCCGGGCUCCACAGGGCGAGGUGGUGGGUAACGCCCACCCGGGGUGACCCGCGGGACAGUGCCACAGAAAACAAACCGCCCGGAUACCGUUUCCUUUCGGGGAUCCCGGUCCGGGUAAGGGUGAAACGGCGGUGUAAGAGACCACCGCGCGGCUGGUGACAGUCGCGGCACGGCAAACCCCACCUGGAGCAAGACCAAGAGGACGCCUGCGGGCGUCUGCGGAAGUGACCGAGGGCUGCCCGCCCGAGCUUCCGGGUAGGUCGCACGGCUGGGUCGAAAGGCCCAGCGGAAGGCCACCAGCAAUGGUGGUCGCAGAUGGAUGAUCACCGCCCCUUGGGGCACAGAACCCGGCUUACAGGCCGGCUCGUCCC